UACGUAGGGUGCAAGCGUUGUCCGGAAUUAUUGGGCGUAAAGAGCUCGUAGGCGGUCUGUUGCGUCGGCUGUGAAAACCCGGGGCUCAACCCCGGGCCUGCAGCCGAUACGGGCAGACUAGAGUUCGGCAGGGGAGACUGGAAUUCCUGGUGUAGCGGUGAAAUGCGCAGAUAUCAGGAGGAACACCGAUGGCGAAGGCAGAUCUCUGGGCCGUAACUGACGCUGAGGAGCGAAAGCAUGGGGAGCGAACAGG
rnacentral:rRNA from 1 species